rnacentral:lncRNA from 11 species
UCCAUUAUGAUGGUUGCUCUGGCUGGGAAACAGCCAGAGGGAUUUGCUCACCUUUCCUUGCUAGGGAAAUUUCUGAACAAGGUUGCAAAGAGAAAACGCAAUAGGACUAGCCCUGAGUCAACAACGCACCACAAGGCUUCUAAACAACUGAAAAUUGAUGAACUUUUCGGGGAAGGAACUGUGAGUAUAUCUGACUUAAACACCCUGUUUGAAACUACAACUGUCAACAACGCUACUCCCUUAAUUCUUCAUGAUAAAGCUAACGAGCCUCUAUCAGUAGCCUCUGACAACAACUUGGCUGCAUAUCAUGAAGGAGUAUCCCUGGAGUCAAUUGAAACAGAUGAAGUGGAAAAGAACCCCCUCUUUACCGAGAUAAGACAACAUACAGGGCAAACAAUUACCACAGACUUUGUGAUGAACCAAUGUCUUCUUACAGCCCACAUUGUUGUUUCUAUCUUCGAAAGAAUAGAAAAAAAUAUUAGGACAGUUGGAGCUUCUCAAAAUUGCUGUUGACCGCUUCACUCAGAAAAGUAUACCUUUAAAAGAAUGCCCAGCUAAGGAUAACAGCACGUGGGCCAGAGAGGAGGAUAAUAAGGUGCACCAAAACACCUCUGAAUUACCCACUAAGGAGCUACAAAUGCAUAAUGGCA